UAAUAAAGUGUUAUAUGGCACUUUUUAAAAAUCCAUAUCCACCUUGUGUGCAAUGUUAGAUCUCGUCAAUCUUGGCGAGAUUUUUAUACAUCAACUCAUCUUUUAACUAAUUUGUCUGAAAAAUAUUAUGAAUACUUAAUUCAAAAUA
rnacentral:misc_RNA from 1 species